UACGUAGGUGGCAAGCGUUGUCCGGAAUCAUUGGGCGUAAAGAGCGUGUAGGCGGUCCGGUCAGUCGGUUGUGAAAGUCAAGGGCUCAACCCUUGAAUGCCGGCCGAUACUGCCGGGCUAGAGUCCGGAAGAGGUGAGUGGAAUUCCUGGUGUAGCGGUGAAAUGCGCAGAUAUCAGGAGGAACACCGAUGGCGAAGGCAGCUCACUGGGACGGUACUGACGCUGAGACGCGAAAGCGUGGGGAGCAAACAGG
rnacentral:rRNA from 1 species